rnacentral:rRNA from 1 species
UACGUAGGGUGCGAGCGUUAAUCGGAAUUACUGGGCGUAAAGCGUGCGCAGGCGGUUCGUUGUGUCCGUCGUGAAAGCCCCGGGCUUAACCUGGGAACUGCGAUGGAAACUAGCGAGCUGGAGUGUGGCAGAGGGGGGUGGAAUUCCGCGUGUAGCAGUGAAAUGCGUAGAGAUGCGGAGGAACACCGAUGGCGAAGGCAAUCCCCUGGGCCUGCACUGACGCUCAUGCACGAAAGCGUGGGGAGCAAACAGG